GCAGUGGUAGUUCAGUGGUAGAAUGUUCGCCUUUCAUGCAAAAGACCAGGGUUCAAUUCCCUGCCAAUGCA